rnacentral:tRNA from 1 species
GUCGUGGUGGUGUAUCGGUAACAUUGUAGCCUUCCAAGCUUCAGCGCCGAGUUCGACUCUCGGUCACGACA